UGGGUAUGAAGGCUGAUUAUAAUAGAAUGGCUGGAUAGGCUGACUAGACUGACCUCUAUUAUAGGCAUAGUUAUGAUAUUAAGACCUAUUUUGAAAGUUAUGUAUAGAUGGCAUUUGGGUCUGAGUCUGAGUCUGUUGAGGUCUCCAAAAAAAAUUAGGGAGGUUUCUCUAAUAUUGGUUAUAUGUGUUUAAGAAUGGGUCAUUG
rnacentral:lncRNA from 1 species